CCCUUAGAUGUUCUGGGCUGCACGCGCGCUACACUGAAGCGUUCAACGAGUAUUCACCUUGCCCGGGAGGGUUGGGUAAUCUUUUGAAAACGCUUCGUGAUGGGGAUAGAUUAUUGCAAUUAUUAAUCUUCAACGAGGAAUUCCUAGUAAGCGCGAGUCAUCAGCUCGUGCUGAUUACGUCCCUGCCCUUUGUACACACCGCCCGUCGCUCCUACCGAUUGAAUGGUCCGGUGAAGCGCUCGGACCGCGGCCUCUUGACGGUUCGCUGUCGAUUGGCUGUGGGAAGUUCGUUAAACCUUAUCAUUUAGAGGAAGGAGAAGUCGUAACA
rnacentral:rRNA from 1 species